UAACACGUGAGUGACCUGCCUUUUAGACUGGAACAACUUACCGAAAGGUGAGCUAAUGCCGGAUGAGUUAUAUAAGUGCAUGUUUAUAUAGGAAAAGUUGGGGAGACCUGACGCUGAAAGAUGGACUCGCGCCCCAUUAGCUAGUUGGUAGGGUAAUGGCCUACCAAGGCGACGAUGGGUAGCCGGCCUGAGAGGGUGGCCGGCCACACUGGGACUGAGACACGGCCCAGACUCCUACGGGAGGCAGCAGUGGGGAAUUUUGCGCAAUGCUCGUAAGAGUGUCGCAGCGACGCCGCGUGAAUGACGAAGGCCUUCGGGUCGUAAAGUUCUUUCGACAGGGAAGAAAAUGCCUAUAAGUAACUGUGUAUGUAUUGACGGUACCUGUAUAAGCAGCCCCGGCUAACUCCGUGCCAGCAGCCGCGGUAAUACGGAGGGGGCGAGCGUUGUUCGGAGUGACUGGGCGUAAAGAGCACGUAGGCGGUGUUGUAAGUCAUUAGUCAAAGACUAGAGCUCAACUUUAGUAAGGCUAGUGAUACUAUAAUACUAGAGUAUCAGAGAGGAUUGCAGAAUUCCUGGUGUAGCGGUGAAAUGCGUGGAUAUCAGGAGGAAUACCGUUAGCGAAGGCGGCAAUCUGGCUGGAAACUGACGCUGAGGUGCGAAAGCGUGGGUAGCAAACAGGAUUAGAUACCCUGGUAGUCCACGCUGUAAACGAUGGAUGCUAGGUGU
rnacentral:rRNA from 1 species